GACGAACGCUGGCGGCGUGCUUAACACAUGCAAGUCGAACGGAAAGGCCCUGCUUGCAGGGUACUCGAGUGGCGAACGGGUGAGUAACAUGGGAGAGGUGUGCUUCACACGUGGGCAAGCUACCGCUAACGGGGGUAUAACCGCGGAGAAGCGAGAUUUAUAGUGAUUGUGGGAAAGAUUUGUCGUUGUAGGAUUGGUACGCGGACUAUGAGCUUAUUUGGGGGGGAGUGGCCUACGCAGGCGGGGACGGGUACCCGGCCUCAGAGGGUGGACGGCCACAGUGGGACUGGGACUCAGCCCAGAUCCCUACGCGAGGCAGAAGUGGGGAAUAUUGCAAAAGGGGCGCGAGCCUGAUGCAGCUACGCCGAGGGGGGGAUGACGGCCUUCGGGUUGGAAACGCCUUUCGCUAGGGACGAAGCUUUUUGUGACGGUACCUAGAUAAGAAGCACCGGCUAACUACGUG
rnacentral:rRNA from 1 species